GCCUCUAUAGCUCGGUUGGUUAGAGCGCUGCACCGGAAUCGCAGGGCCGUAGGUUCAAUUCCUACCAGAGGAC